rnacentral:lncRNA from 1 species
CGCCAUGGAACGCACAUGAUGUCCACAUCGGAGGUGCAGUCCUCACCAACGAGACUAACAUGGAUCGUGGGUCUUUGCAAAUGCAAAAACCUCAAUCUUUUCUCUCCAAUUACAGACAUUUCAAGUGGGAAUCACCUAACAUAAAAAAAACAAAUAUAAGCCUACGAAAGAGAAAAAACAAAAACCAAAAAACAAUCCGCAAAU